GACAUGUAGAGCUUUCACAGAUACUGUCUACACUCAGGGAAAGGCCUUGCAGGCAGAAAGAAGAGACAAGAGGAGGCUCCAGGGCUGCUCCAGGGCACAGAGCAUGGUGAACAGCCCAGCGCCUUGUGUGGAAAAUCAGAGUGGGGAUGGUAAUCAAGAAGAGCCAGAGGCUUGGGCAGGAUGAUGGCCACGGAAAGAGAAGGCCACGGGCAGAGGCCACAAGCAGAGGCAGAAAUGCUCAGGAUGUGAGUCAACAGCGCAGCCAGCUCGUGACCAGAGCAGACUCACAAAUGCGUUUUU